UUUGAAAAGAGAGUUAAAAAGUACGUGAAAUUGUUGAAAGGGUAGUGUUUAUGACCAGACUUGGGCUUGGUUAAUCAUCUGGGGUUCUCCCCAGUGCACUUUUCCAGUCCAGGCCAGCAUCAGUUUUCGCCGGGGGAUAAAGACUUCGGGAAUGUGGCUCCUCUCGGGGAGUGUUAUAGCCCUUGUGUAAUACCCGGCGGGGACUGAGGUUCGCGCUUCUGCAAGGAUGCUGG
rnacentral:rRNA from 1 species